GUUUCACCUUGUUGACCAGGAUGGUCUCGAUCUCUUGACCUCGUGAUCCACCGGCCUCGGCCUCCCAAAGUGCUGGGAUUAUAGGCGUGAGCCACUGCGCCUGGCCAAGGGGGGAUUCUCUUAAAAACAGACCAAGGAACAGUCAAAAGGAAGCAUUUCUCAAGGAAGGGGAGCCAGCCACUGCUGUUAUUUCAAGCUCAUCAAUUUAGUUCUAAAUUAUAGCUGACACUCUGUCUAGGUGUACUUCUUCACUUAAAAUGUAUGCUGCAAUACCACAGUGUGAUUAGAAAGCCAUGUUAUCUCCACUUUCCCUCCCUUAUCCUCCUCAAACCAGUGCUUUUCAGAGGGUUGACCCUUAGGAAUAGAGGUUCUUUGAACUUCUUGCAAGGCGAGAGUGGUAAUCGUGCCUUCCACUAAGAGUCACUGUGCUUCAGCGUGGCUUCCAAGCUGCACUACUGCAGCCCUGCUGGAAUGGCAAGAUUGGCAGGGAAGAACGUUUAAAGCCUUGCCCCUCUGUUCUUCCUCCAGUACAGGUUACUUCAUCCUGGCCCAGGUACAGCAGCUCCAAAUCAUGGGGAUUCUGUUGGCGCACAGCUUGAGCAAAAAGGAGGAUUGCUCAGCAGUCACUGUGAAAUUUUGUGGGCAACAAGUUAAGUGCACACAUGAUCCUUGAUUUAGAGUCAACGUGAUCUCCACUACAGCUGUGAAAAGUGUGAGUAACAAAAG